rnacentral:lncRNA from 1 species
AGUGGGCCCCCAUCGGGCUGGGUUGUUGUAAGGGCUCGCAUCGUGUUUGGGUAGGUUUAAGGGACCCCGAUUUGGUCUAGGUUGGUUAAUAGGACCUCUAUCGGGUAAGGAUUAAGUUGAUGAGCCUAAUGGACUAGGUCUUGGUUUGUAUGUUGAGCCCUUAUUAGGCCAGGUUAGUAAAUGGAUUCCUCUUUGGUCAGGUUAUGGUUAAAGGACCCUUGUCGGGUUAGAGACUAUUAGUGCGUUUCAGCUGGUCUCACCUAUGUAGGAUAUGUGACUAGGAAACAGAUAAGUCUUAUGAUCACUAGCAAACCCUAUGGGUCGAAUUGUAUGAUCUGUAUUGUGAUU